GUUUUAGGGGUUUUGCGACCCUCAUUCCUUUUGCAUUAAAGGAUCGCUUAAUCAUCUUACCUUUCAAGCAAGAUUCACAUUGUGGAACAUCAACUUUUUUAAGUGAACUUAAGAUGUUGUCUUUAAGCAAGAAAUGUUGGUGAUGUUAGGAUGAAAAAUCCUUAUUGAUUGAUUGUACAUAUACUGAAUAAUAAGGUUGAAUUAGG
rnacentral:lncRNA from 1 species